CAUCCCACUUGUUAUCCGAGCACUUUAACACAGGUCCUCUGUUAGCCAUUUAUAAAGGCAUGUGUCUUUGGAAACUAACAGAAGCCUUUCGAAUAUGUGUGUGUGUGUGUGUGUGUGCAGAAAUAUAGGUAUGUCUCUGCAUGUACCCCGGAUACAUGAGUACCCGGCUCAUCAAUGUCCUGCCACUCACUCCCAGACACAUCUUCCUUGUGUUUGUGUCUCUGUGCUAGGGGUAUGUGACCCCUAGCUGUCAUCGUUAGACACAUUGUCAUCACACAUAGAUCUGAUAACUCCUCUGUCACGUGUUCCUGUGUGUGUGUGUGCUGUGUGUGGUUGUGUGUGUAUGUGUCCUCAAGGGACAUAGUUGCUAUGUGGUCUGUGUGUCCUCUCCACUUCUCUCUACAAAGGGACCCAGUUGCUGUGUGUGUGUGUGUGUGUCCUCAAGGGACACAGUUGCUAUGUGGUCCGUGUGUCCUCUCCACUUCUCUCUACAAAGGGACCCAGUUGCUGUGUGUAUGUGUGUGUGUGUCCUCAAGGGACAUAGUUGCUAUGUGGUCUGUCCGUGUGUCCUCUCCAGUUCUCUCAACAAAGGGACCCAGUUGCUAUGUGUGUGUGUGUCCUCAAGGGACAUAGUUGCUAUGUGGUCUGUCCGUGUGUCCUCUCCACUUCUUUCUACAAAGGGACCCAGUUGCUGUGUGUAUGUGUGUCUCCCUUCUAUUUACAUCUCUCAAGGGACACCGCUGUCGCUAUGUGAUCCGUCUCUGUGCCUCUUCCACUUUCAUCUCUCCCCCCCCGAAGGGACCCCAGUUCCCGUGCAAGGGUGUGUGUGUGUAUGUAUGUGUCCGCCCGUCACGUGUAUCUAUGUGCAGCCCUAAAUCCCGCUUUAUCAUUUUUUCCCCUUCCCUCCUUCCCCAAUCACAGGUAACCUCCCUCCCCCCCCCCCAAUCAUAUCCCACCACUUUCCCCCCGCCCUCACUUCUGUCAAUAUAUCAAUCUUUAGUCACCGAGCCUGUGUGUGUGUGUGUAUAUGUAUAGUAUAAACAUUGUUUUGUGAACUGUGUGUGUGUGUGUGUGGUAAGCCACACCCAUCUCUCCCCGCCCCCAUUCCGGCUCCUCCUCCAUUCCCCCCCCUCCUCACUGAAGGCGUCAUUUGGUCUAACGCUUUUAAACGUCUAUUAUAUAAUGAAAUAAAUAAUGAUGAUAAUAAUAAUAAUAAUAAUAAUAAUAAUUCUUUCUUUAUUAGCCACAAGGGCGAUUUUAUUAUAACAAUAAUAAAUGAAUCUUAGUUGAAA